AUGCUGAUGGCAUUUACAUUCUCUAGGUUUCAGGUGCUAAAAACACUCCACAUUGGCUGAAAGGCGUUUGUGGGCAACUCCUCACAGAAUGCCUGCUGCACGAAGGAGGCCUCGCACAAGUUAUUCUUGGCAUAUUCGAUGCAUGGAGCGUGGAUGACACUGGUGGUGUGGUGUCUGAGAAAUACUGGAAGAAAUGUGAAACAUUUGCCAAGAUUGUUGCCAGGAUGCCGAGCACCAAGGUUGUUACUGCGGAAAGCUAUUAUGAUAGGAUUUCUGACCAGGUGGUCCAGCUUCUAUUUCGGCCACAAGGCUCUAUAAUGGACAAGAUCAUCUUUCGAGUCACAUGUGCUAUCGUGGGUGCCAUGCUGGAAGAGCAGCCCCAAAAAAACAUCUAGCCUUGUUUUCAGCAAGGUCUUUAGGCCUCUUUUCAUCUGCACCUGCCAGCAGGGUAAGCUAAAACCCUAUCUGCAUACCAUAGUCAUACUUGCAGGAGUAUCAACCACUAGGCAAAUAGCAGGGUCAUCUCAGCUGUUACCUAAUGCCUGUGUCACAAGGGUGUGCAAAAAGUCUUGCAUAAGUGGUCUUUUACGAAGUUGAAAGACUU